rnacentral:lncRNA from 1 species
GACAGAUAAGCGGAGUAAAGGUUUUUCCCUGAAUUUUAAAGAUGCAAUAUUGCACGCUGGGUUUUUUAAUCCAUAUACUGUUGUUCUACACUUCAACAUUAUCUCAUUACAAAUGCAAAUUUUCGAGGGGGUGUAAGAAGAUAAAUCUUCUAUGUAGUUAGUAACUGCAAUAAGGAGUUGUGUUAGUAAAUAAUAUAGUUAGUUAGUGACAAAACAUAUGCUAUAUAAUCAAUUAUAUUUGUGAGUUAUUUAAUCAAGUAUUUGGGUAUUUUCUUGUGAAUCAAUUGUGUUAAGUUUCUCUGAGAAUAAUGUUUGCCAAGAUUCUACAGAUUUGUAGUCUCCUGUCACCUAAAUUUCUCCACAAAUAGUCUUGGGUAUUAAAGUUAUUUUGAAUCUUAGGGAUACAAACAGAUAGAAAAUUUAGGUGAAGGAAUUACAGAAGCUUAGAUUAAGCUUCGAUUGAUUCCAAAACUGAAUACCUUUAUUUCCUAUAUUCAUCAGUUUAUAUAGGUUUGAUUUAUAUAUGAUUUUUAUAUGGUAUUAAAGUUAGUACUAACUUAUUUAUCAGUUUAGUAUUGUAACUAACAUCUUGAUUAUGCCCCUUCCUUAAUACGCCCCCUCAAGCAUAACGGAACUUCUUUGGUAAGCUUGACCCGUAAUGCUUCAAAAGCCGAUCGUGGAAGUGGCUUGGUAAGUAGGUAUGCUACCUGUUCUUUUGACCCGAUGAACCUAACCUCGAGUACCUUGGAAAACACCCGUUCUCGAACAAAAUGAUAAUUCAUCGCGAAAUGUUUGGAUUUCAUGUGAUGUGAUGGGUUCUUUGAGAUGGCUAUCGCACCGGAAUUGUCACACCAAAUUUUUGCCGGUAAUGCAACUUAAAUGCCCAAAUCCUUCAGUAGUCCCCUAAUCCGGUCCAUUUCUGCUGCCGUAUCAGCUACACUUCGAUACUCUGCUUCGGUUGUGGAGCGAGCUACCAUGCUUUGUUUUCUUGACCCCCACGAGACUAGAUUUGUCUCAAGAUAUACAAUGUACGCCCCCUGACUCCUACUAUCGUUCUUAUCUCCCGCCCAAUCGGCAUCGGAAAAGGCUAACAGUUUGGAUGUUUCUGAGUAUUUGGUGUGUAACCCAUGGAAUAGUGUUCCAGCUAUGUAGCGAAGUAUUCUUUUUAGGGAUAUCCAGUGAUCAAUUGUCGGUGUUUGCAUGAACUGUGCAAUUUUAUUUACGGAGAAUGAUUAGUCGGGGCGUGUAAUAGUUAGGUAUUGUAAACUCCCCACUAUUUGACGGAAUAGUGUCGGUGACUCGAACGGGGUGGAUUCAUCAUAUAAUCUGACCCGACUAUCUAUGGGCGUGUGAGCUAGUUUUGCAGUGUCCAAGUCGCUCUUUUCUAGGAUAGUCCUUGCGUAAUGGUGUUGGGAUAAAUGAAGAGAGCCGUCUUCUUCCCAAUUACACUGAAUUCCUAGGAAUUGAUGUAGUCGUCCUAGGUUCUUUACUGGGAAUUGUUUUUGAAGCGACCUGAUUGUAUCUUCUAUAAACUUGGUUGAGGAGCUUGUGAAGAUUAUGUCGUCAACAUACACGAUCAGCCAUGCAUGUACGUUUCCUUUCCGGAACAUGAAUAACGAAUGAUCACAGGUGCUCUCAGAGAAGCCUAGCUGCAGUAACAUCGUUCUGAGUCGAAAGAACCAUGCUCGAGGUGAUUGCUUUAAGCCAUAUAACGACCGUUUGAGUUUACAGAUGUGAUCCGGGAAUUCUUUGUUUGUGAAACCCGGGGCUUGUGGCAUGAACACCUCUUCCUCUAGCAUGCCAUGAAGAAAUGCAUUCGAUACGUCUAAUUGAGAAAUUUUCCAUUUGUUUGUCACGGCUAAGGCUAGUAUCACUCGGAUGGUUACUUGUUUUACUACUGGUGCAAACGUUUGAUCAUAAUCGAUCCCGUCGCGUUGCCGAAGUCCGUUUGCAACUAGUCUUGUUUUGCGCCGUUCCAAGGACCCGUCAGAUUUUAUUUUUUAUCUUGAAGAUCCAUUUACACCCUAACACAUUAUAUUCUGGUAGUUUUGGUACCGAUUCCCAAGUGUUAUUUGUUACUAGUGCCUCGUAUUCUUCUGUCAUAACUUUACUCCAGUCCGGAUCGAGUAGAGCCGAAGUUGCGCCUGUCGGAACUGAUAGCGGUGCUGAGAUCAUGCAAACAUAUUUUGGAUUAGGUUUACGAAUCCCUCGUUGACCCCUUAUAAUCAUGCCUUCCUGUUGUUGGCUAUGAGCAGAUGGAGUAGUAAUUGUUGACUGAUUUCAUUGUCAUGUUGAGUUGGCUCGGUUCCGGAUUCAGAUGUCGUUGGCGGUUCCUUUUGAAGUGGUGGAUCAAUGUUGUUUCCUGAGUCAACAAUUUCCGGAUAACCGAACCCUUGAUCACUUGAAGUCUCAUCAUUAGUUGUUUCUAUUAGCUUUGAGUUGAGGCUGAAGUCUGCUUCAUGAAAUAUGCAUUCACGUGAUAUUACAAAUUUCCUGUUAUUUGGAUCGUAACAUAAGUACCCUCGAUGAUUAUUUGGGUAACCAAGAAAAAUGUGCGGGUCGGAUUUGUAAGUAAAUUUAUUUUUCCUUAUUGGUCUUUGGUUCGGGUAUACUCGGCAUCCAAAAACCCGGAGUCCGUUGUAUGCGGGAGCUACUUGAAAUAGCUUUUGGAAUGGGGAAUCUCCAUCCAGUACUGGUGAUGGCGUUCUGUUAUAUAGAAAUGCAGCUGUAGAGAAUGCAAACUCUCAAAACCGAAGUGGGAUUUGACCGUGAUGCAAGAGUGCGAGGCCAAUGUCCACUAUAUGUCGAUGACGCCUCUCGACCAUACCCAUCUAUGUAUGAGUAUAUGGGCAGGACAGACGGUGUACUAUGCCGCAUUCUUAGAGAAAAGGCUUGAACACUCGGAAUUCUCCUCCGUUGUCUGUCUGGAGAGCUUUCAACGUUUUCCCUGUUUGUUUCUCAACAAAUACUUUAAACAGUUUAAAACCCUUUAGUGCAUCUGAUUUGGAAACAAUCCCAAUCACCUUUGAAAUGUAGAUUUCAAUUCCCAGAUCCCCUUUCUUGAAAUUUUGCAGUUGUUGGCAUAAUUGUAGAAUUCGCGUACCCAAUGUGGACGCAUGUGUUUGUUGGAAUUUUUCCCAUGCUUUUGUCGAGGUCGUCGAGCUUGCUACCUGUGCGAGGAUAUCGACUUGCAGUGUCGAAAAUAUCCACCCGAAGAUCAGCUGAUCUUGUUGUAUCUUCCCUUGGUCACCGUCGAGACUGAUUUCUCCAGUCACAUACGGAAGGAGUCCGUAUCCGCGCAGGAAAGUGAGCACCUGUGCUUGCCAUAUGAAGUAGUUGCUGCCGGUGAGACGUUCCGCACAUUGAUGCUUUAAUUUCACAAUUUUCAUCUGACCUGUCGCGCUGCUGAAUGGUUGCAGUUGAUUUCAGUUCUUGAAUCGGACGACGAUUGUGAGGACGAAGAUCGCGAGGACGAAGACUCGGUAGAAAUCAGCUUCGGAAUUGCAAUGCGGACGGACGUGUUGCGAAGAUGUCGAGUUGCGGCAGAAAUCGAAUUUAGCCGAACUUAAAUUCAGCAGAAAUUCAACCGACAGAAAUCAAAUUCAGAAGAAUUUAAAAGUUGCAAACCGUGUUGCGGAGGUCUCGCGGCAGAAAUCUGAAAUGAAAAUCGCUGAAACGUGCAGAACGGCGUGCUCGCGGAUGAAAUCGACAGGAGCAGAUUCGUAGAUCGGACGAUGAUUGAAAGACACCGGAGCCGCAGAACUCGCGCGGAUGAAAUCGACGUGUUGCCGAACCCGGAGUUGAAACCGCAAGAAUCGCACAAAAUCCAAAUCGUGUUGCGAGUGUGCGAGAGUCCAGAUCGUGCAGAUAAACCCGCACAAAACGCGGAUGAAAUGCCGUCUGUGGAUGGACUCGGACGUUGCGGGGUGGCUUGUGUAGAACGCGGAUGAUCCGGACGAUGCGUCGCGGAGGAAAUCGGCGUUGAAAUCGAUUGUGGAGGAAUAAUCGAAGGUCGUCUUCCUGGAGAUGAUUUGAUUCUCUGGAAUUUGCUGCAACGCGGAGCUGCCGUCGGCGAAGUUGCGUCGCCGUUUGGUUAAUCUCCAUAGAUGACAGAGUUUGCGAAAAAGAAGUCACAGGAUGCGCCCUCUGCUCUUGAUACCAUUAUAGAAGCUUAGAUUAAACUUAGAUUGAUUCCAAAACUGAAUACCUUUAUUUCCUAUAUUCAUCAAUUUAUAUAGGUUUGAUUUACAUAUGAUAUUCACGAUAGUUAGUACUAACUAACUUAUUUAUCAGUUUAGUAUUGUAACUAACAUCUUGAUUAUGCCCCUUCCUUAAUAAGGAAAAAUACCCAAAUGGUAUUGGAGAAACAGAUACAAACAAUCUUUGUAAAAACAAGAAGAAGAAAACCCAAAUGGUGAAGGAACCAAAGAUCGGUUAUGGAAUCUUACCUGGAAGUCGUCGGAAUGGACUGGAAGUCUAUCCCUCACCACUGCUCGCUGGACAGGAAGUAUCGCCCUCGCCGGAUGGAAGUAUCGCUCUCGCCGGAUCUCGGUAUCGCUGGUCCAGACUCUCACUCAAAACUCGUUGUUGGUCACGGAAUCAACUCGCCGCUCGCCUCUCACCAGAAAUCGAAGUUGGAAUCACCGGAGGUGGGAGUUGGAGAAAAACACGAUUUGGGUAGAAGAAAUAAAGGAUUUAACUUUUAAAGCUUGAACGAUAUCUAUUGUUUAAUUUAGGAGUUUUGGCUUAUUUAUACUUUUUUACUAUUACAUUUUACAAUUUAC